rnacentral:rRNA from 1 species
UACGUAGGUGGCGAGCGUUAUCCGGAUUUAUUGGGUUUAAAGGGAGCGUAGGCGGCUGAUUAAGUCAGCGGUGAAAGGUAGCAGCUUAACUGUUUUACAUGCCGUUGAUACUGGUUAGCUUGAGUUGACAGAAGGCAGAUAGAAUUCCUGAUGUAGCGGUGAAAUGCUUAGAUAUCAGGAGGAAUACCGAUUGCGAAGGCAGUCUGCUGCAGUCACACUGACGCUGAGGCUCGAAGGUGCGGGGAUCAAACAGG